GACGAACGCUGGCGGCGUGCUUAACACAUGCAAGUCGAACGAUGAAGCCCUUCGGGGUGGAUUAGUGGCGAACGGGUGAGUAACACGUGGGCAAUCUGCCCUUCACUCUGGGACAAGCCCUGGAAACGGGGUCUAAUACCGGAUAUGACACACGGCCGCAUGGUCUGUGUGUGGAAAGCUCCGGCGGUGAAGGAUGAGCCCGCGGCCUAUCAGCUUGUUGGUGGGGUGANGGCCUACCAAGGCGACGACGGGUAGCCGGCCUGAGAGGGCGACCGGCCACACUGGGACUGAGACACGGCCCAGACUCCUACGGGAGGCAGCAGUGGGGAAUAUUGCACAAUGGGCGAAAGCCUGAUGCAGCGACGCCGCGUGAGGGAUGACGGCCU
rnacentral:rRNA from 1 species